GCAGCAAAACGCGAUAAGUAAUGUGAAUUGCAGAAUUUAGUGAAUCAUCAAAUCUUUGAACGCACAUUGCGCCUGCCAGCAUUCUGGCAGGCAUGCCUGUCCGAGCGUCAUUUCCACCCUCAGGCGCCUAGUGCGCCUGCUGUUGGGGCAUUCUGCGGCCUAGCCGCAGGCCUCGAAAGCAAGUGGCGGGCUGGCUAGUCGGCUCCGAGCGCAGUAAACACUCUUCGCUCUGGACGCCCUGGCCUGCGCCCUGCCGUAAAAGCCUUUUUUUUAGGUUGACCUCGGAUCAGGUAGGACUACCCGCUGAACUUAAGCAUAUCAAUAAGCGGAGGAAAAGAAACCAACAGGGAUUGCCUCAGUAGCGGCGAGCGAAGCGGCAACAGCUCAAAUUUGAAAUCUGGCUUCGGCCCGAGUUGUAAUUUGGAGAGGAUGCUUUGGGCGCGGCGCCUUCCGAGUUCCUUGGAACAGGACGCCAGAGAGGGUGAGAGCCCCGUACGGUUGGACUCCAAGCCUAUGUAAAGCUCCUUCGACGAGUCGAGUAGUUUGGGAAUGCUGCUCAAAAUGGGAGGUAAAUUUCUUCUAAAGCUAAAUAUUGGCCAGAGACCGAUAGCGCACAAGUAGAGUGAUCGAAAGAUGAAAAGCACUUUGAAAAGAGGGUUAAACAGUACGUGAAAUUGUUGAAAGGGAAGCGCCUAUGACCAGACUUGCGCUCCGCGAACCACCCGGCGUUCUCGCCGGUGCACUUCGCGGGGUGCAGGCCAGCAUCGGUUUUCCCAGGGGGAUAAAGGUCGUAGGAACGUGACUCUUCCGGGAGUGUUAUAGCCUGCGGCGUCAUGCCCCUGGGGGGACCGAGGACCGCGCUUCGGCAAGGAUGCUGGCGUAAUGGUCAUCAGCGACCC
rnacentral:rRNA from 1 species